rnacentral:rRNA from 1 species
AUGUGCGAUCGUACCAGCAUUAAUGCACCAGAUCCCGUCAGAACUCCACAGCAAGGCGUGCUUAGGCGAGAGUAGUACUAGGAUGGGUGACCUCCUGGGAAGUCCUCGUGUUGCACCCC